UGGGACUAAGACAUGCUAGUCGUGCGCUUCUAAGCCAUGGUGGAGGCGCGGCGCACAGCUCAGUAACACGUGGUUAACCUGCCCUUGGGACGGAAACACCCCCGGGAAACUGGGGCUAAUUUCCGAUAGGUGAAGACUCCUGGAAUGGAUCUUCGCCUAAAGGGCGCUUAGGCCAUGCUUCUAGGCGCUGCCCAAGGAUGGGACCGCGGCCGAUCAGGUUGUUGGUGAGGUAAUGGCUCACCAAGCCUUUAACCGGUUCGGGCCGUGGGAGCGGGAGCCCGGAGAUGGGCACUGAGACAAGGGCCCAGGUCCUACGGGGCGCAGCAGUCGCGAAAACUCCGCAAUACGCGAAGGCGUGACGGGGCUAUCCCGAGUGCCGUCCGCUGAGGAUGGCUUUUCCCCAGUGUAGAUAGCUGGGGGAAUAAGGAGAGGGCAAGUCUGGUGUCAGCCGCCGCGGUAAUACCAGCUCUCCGAGUGGUGGGGACGUUUAUUGGGCCUGAAGCAUCCGUAGCCAGCUGAGCAAGUCCCCAGUUAAAUCCAGCGAUUUAAUCGUUGGACUGCUGGGGAUACUGUCCGGCUUGGGGGUGGGAGAGGCCGAC
rnacentral:rRNA from 1 species